rnacentral:rRNA from 1 species
GGACUCGCACAAGCGGUGGAGCAUGUGGUUUAAUUCGACGCAACGCGAAAAACCUUACCAGGCCUUGACAUCCCUCUGACCGGUGUAGAGAUACGCCCUUCCCUUUUGGGACAGAGGAGACAGGUGGUGCAUGGUUGUCGUCAGCUCGUGUCGUGAGAUGUUGGGUUAAGUCCCGCAACGAGCGCAACCCUUAUCAUUAGUUGCUAACAUUAAGUUGAGAACUCUAAUGAGACUGCCAGCGACAAGUUGGAGGAAGGUGGGGAUGACGUCAAAUCAUCAUGCCCCUUAUGGCCUGGGCUACACACGUGCUACAAUGGCCGGUACAAAGAGCAGCGAAACUGUGAAGUCAAGCAAAUCUCAAAAAACCGGUCUCAGUUCAGAUUGUAGUCUGCAACUCGACUACAUGAAGUCGGAAUCGCUAGUAAUCGUAAAUCAGCAUGUUACGGUGAAUACGUUCUCGAGUCUU